rnacentral:misc_RNA from 1 species
GUAGGUGAACCUGCGGAAGGAUCAUUAAAAAAUAGGCAUAGCCUAUAUCCACCUUGUGUGCAAACAAUGGAGAGAGAAAAUGGAACCAAGAGCACUUUUCUUUGGGAGAGUGUUGCCAACUUCUCUAUAUAUUUUUUAUAAACACCAUCAAAAAUUUAAAUAAAAACAAUUUUUUAAUAUAAAUAUUAUACAACUUUCAACAACGGAUCUCUUGGCUCUCGCAUCGAUGAAGAACGCAGCAUCUGACUGA